UUUUUUUUUUUUUUUUUUUUUUGAGACGGAGUCUCGCUCUGUUGCCCAGGCUGGAGUGCAAUGGCACAAUCUCGGCUCACGGCAAGCUCUGCCUCCCGGAUUCAUGCCAUUCUCCUGCCUCAGCCUCCCAAGUAGCUGGGACUACAGGCGCUCCAUAAGGCUGGUGUUACCAUGACUUUCUAAUUUUGCAAAUCUGGUAGAUAUGAAAUGGAUCUCAUUGCUUUUUAAGUGUACAAUUUCUUAAAUGAAGGAGGUUAUUUAUGAAGUAUUCUUUCAACUUGAUGACCUUAUUAAUAAAUCAACUUCUCUUCCUACACCCUGCCUGUCAUUUAGGUUAAGCCACGAGGGUUAGAGUCACAGGAGAAGAGAGCAUGUGCUGCCUGGAACAGCAAUGUUUACAAAUAGGGAUGAAAGAAGGUACGAGGUGCAGGUAAUUCUUACCAGCAGGAAGAAGAAGGAGAAGGUUUUCUGGUAGAGAUUAGAGGGGAGAGAGCAGAGAGGAGAAAGUCUCCUCCACUCCACUAUCUUCCAAUCACCAAUGGCAUGGGAUCACCUGAGGUGAGACUACUUAAUAUCCAAUAAAACAAACCAAUUUUUUUUUUCCUGCACAUAUGAUUUGCUGUUUAUAAAAAUGGUGACCCAUAUCCCCAAUAUCAACAUACCUGAGUUCCAUCUUCUAAGCCUUUAAUAGAGUGUCAGGUGCUAUGCCAACUAACACUUCAUCUAUACUGUUUAAUUAUCCAAGCUGUCAUCUAGGAGGUGGGGCAAUGGGAGUUUUCUUCUUUUACAUAUGAGGAAACUGAAAUAUGUUGCCCAAAGCCAUACUGGUAGUAAAUAAUGGAGCUACUAUUGUAAUCCAGACGUGACUAACUCCACACAGGCACCCCUGACCACUGAAUUAUCCACACUUUAAUUGAAGUACGUGUUGGUAGCAGUCUCAUAGGAGAGUGCUGGGCAUUAGGAAGAUAGAAUACAUUUGAACGCUGUUCCCAGACUUUGAGGUCAGAAUAGCUCAUGGGACCUUGAGCAGGAAGAGGUUAUACAUUUUGGCAAGUGAUUUUAUCUUGAUUGCCUGGGAUGACUAUAGUCAGUCUAGAGAGAG
rnacentral:lncRNA from 1 species